rnacentral:rRNA from 1 species
AUGAACGCUGGCGGCGUGCCUAAUACAUGCAAGUCGAGCGAACGGACGAGAAGCUUGCUUCUCUGAUGUUAGCGGCGGACGGGUGAGUAACACGUGGAUAACCUACCUAUAAGACUGGGAUAACUUCGGGAAACCGGAGCUAAUACCGGACAAUAUUUUGAACCGCCUGGUUCAAAAGUGAAAGACGGUCUUGCUGUCACUUAUAGAUGGAUCCGCGCUGCAUUAGCUAGUUGGUAAGGUAACGGCUUACCAAGGCAACGAUGCAUAGCCGACCUGAGAGGGUGAUCGGCCACACUGGAACUGAGACACGGUCCAGACUCCUACGGGAGGCAGCAGUAGGGAAUCUUCCGCAAUGGGCGAAAGCCUGACGGAGCAACGCCGCGUGAGUGAUGAAGGUCUUCGGAUCGUAAAACUCUGUUAUUAGGGAAGAACAUAUGUGUAAGUAACUGUGCACAUCUUGACGGUACCUAAUCAGAAAGCCACGGCUAACUACGUG